rnacentral:tRNA from 1 species
UCCUCGAUAGCUCACGGUAGUGCAACCGGUUAAUAACUGGUUGGUUGCCGGUUCAGAUCCUAAUCGAGGAUCCA